rnacentral:lncRNA from 1 species
GGCACAGCGACGAUGCCGGUUCUGCCUUCUACGAUAGCUCCUCUUCUCAGUCACACCAGUUUAGGAUGGUUUUGAGUGAAAAUCUGCACAAUUUGGGGUUAGGUGGCUUCUGUUGGUGGAAAAAUGAGGAAAACUGAAACUUGCCAGUGGUUAUGGUUUUCUGGUGCGGCAGAGAAGAUGGUCGGCUUCUCUUCCAGCCACCAUUCUUCUUCUUCUCUAGCGAACUGGGUGCGGCUAGGGUUAGUGUUUUGGUGGAAGAAGAGUUUAAAUACUCCUCUUCUCUCGAUCUGGGUUGUUCAUUUGUGUCUACAUGGGCCAAUCUCUGCCGUCGGAUCUCACCUAUUUGCGAAACAAAUUAGAGUCA